rnacentral:rRNA from 1 species
AGUGAACGCUGGCGGUAGGCCUAACACAUGCAAGUCGAACGGCAGCACAGUAAGAGCUUGCUCUUACGGGUGGCGAGUGGCGGACGGGUGAGGAAUACAUCGGAAUCUACUUUUUCGUGGGGGAUAACGUAGGGAAACUUACGCUAAUACCGCAUACGACCUACGGGUGAAAGCAGGGGAUCUUCGGACCUUGCGCGAUUGAAUGAGCCGAUGUCGGAUUAGCUGGUUGGCGGGGUAAAGGCCCACCAGGGCGACGAUCCGUAGCUGGUCUGAGAGGAUGGUCAGCCACACUGGAACUGAGCCACGGACCAGACUCCUACGGGAGGCAGCAGUGGGGAAUAGUGGACAGUGGGGGCAAGCCUGAUCCAGCCAUACCGCGUGGGUGAAGAAGGCCUUCGGGUUGUAAAGCCCUUUUGUGGGGAAAGAAAAGCAGCAGGUUAAUACCCCGCUGUUCUGACGGUACCCAAAGAAUAAGCACCGGCUAACUUCGUG